rnacentral:lncRNA from 1 species
CACCUCCUAGGUCACAGUGAGAUGGCAGCGUCCCGGCCAGGAAGUGUCCUUGAGCUGGGCCUGCCUGCACCUUGGAAGUGGACUCGCCGUCUCUCUGAGGGAGGCAGGUCUGUAGUUGGAGCUGUCCCGCCUGCGGCGAAGGCCAAGGGGAGCCCAAACGCCUUCAUAACUGUCCUCGCAUAACCUCCUCCAGCGUCGGGGGCAGACGGCAUAACAUGAGGACACCGAGGUGCAGGGAGGGUAAGUGGCUUUGCCAAGGUCAGGGUCUGUAAGGACCCAGCCUGGACGCAUCCCUGGAGGCCACAAAUGUCUGUCCUCAGGAAAAGAACAUGGCCUUGAAGAAACUGCUAAGGGUCCCAGCUCUGGGUUCUGCCCGGGCGGCCUUGGGGAGUCCCCAGCUCAGUUCCCAGGAGCCACACGGGCACCCUGCAGGCCAGUCCCGCCACUGACUGCGGCACAUGUUGCCCAGUUCCAAGGUGCAGGCUCAGGGCUGCUUCCUGACUGUGGACGCCGCCUUCUCACUGUGACCUGGAGAGGUGCAGGGGUCGGGGAGGCUCUCUGUCUGACUUCCACUGGGUGAGGGCCCCACGCCUAUGACCUCAUUUAACCUCAGUUAAAUAGCCCAUUUCCAAAUAUGGCCGCUGGGGUCAGGGCGCCACCGUGUGACUCUACAGGGACACCACUCAGUUCAAGGCACCUUUCAAGUACUUGUUCAGGAAUGUUGUGUCCAGGCCCCCUGGGGUGGAGCAGUGUGGGACCCCCACAACUGAGCAAAAGCGAGGCCUGCCCGUCCCGGGCCGUCAGCAGGUGCUGGCUCUCUGCCUUGGGCGGGGAAGGAGCCUGGAGAAACACAUGGCCCAAGCUUUGCCUGGGAGACUGGCUGGGGCAGCCAGGAGAUGUCCAUCACUGGACACUGCGAUUGUGGAGCCCUCUGGUGGGUUGAGCAGAGGGACCUGCCCGUCACUGGGCUGUGGAGCCUCCUCCACCUGGGAAGCCCAGGCGGGUCCACCAAGCAGCGGCUGCUCAGCGUGUAGUUGCUGAGGCCCAGGAUACCCUGGGCCUGUUCUCAUUCUUCAGGCUUCGCCGAUAAAUAUCACCCUGGAGAAAGCCCAGGCAGGGAAGCCAGGAUAGAAAUGCCACUUACCAGUGGUCUUUCAUGGGCUUAUUUCAAAUCUCCAGGCCUGGGAACGGGACCCGAUGGAUUUUUAAGGACUCCUAUUGUGUUCAUUUCCCACAAAAACCAGGGUCACGCUCAGGGCCAAGUGAUGCAAAUAACUCUCCCUCUCCAGAUUAGAGCGGAGAGCGCGAGGCUGGAGUCUGCGCUCACACCAACGGGCCAGGUGCCACGUGCCCACUGUGGCGUGUUCCCCAGAGUGCACACACACGUAAGCACACCUGACACCCAUGCACUCGGGGCUCACUGGCAUGUGUGCACACGCAUGUUCCUGAGUCAGCAGUGACCGUGAGCACACACCACCUCUGCACACGGCGGACUCGCACGCAGAGCAUGAUAAAUGCACGUGCAGACAUGCAGCUCUCACGGGCUCCCUGCCACGCGUGCUCCUGCAGAGACACAUAUGGCCCGUGCGUGCACAGCAUACGGUAGCACCGGCAGACGAGAGCUGGCCCUCCACAUGAAGUCCCCAGUGGCUCCAAGUCAGACAUUAAAAGCAUUAAUAAAAGACGCUGCCAGAAGUUCAGUGGCAGCAUUGAUUUCCUGGUUGUCGGAGCAGAGUAUAUAAACCCCAAGUGGCAUUUAAUACUGG